rnacentral:rRNA from 1 species
GGUGGCGGCAAUACUGGAGUUGUUCCACCCGUUCCCAUCUCGAACACGGAAGUGAAAUACUCCGAGGCCGAUGAUAGUGUUCCUUUGUGGGAUGCGAAAGUAGGUAGCUGCCACCC